rnacentral:rRNA from 1 species
UGGGAAUUUUGGACAAUGGGCGAAAGCCUGAUCCAGCAAUGCCGCGUGUGUGAAGAAGGCCUUCGGGUUGUAAAGCACUUUUGUCCGGAAAGAAAUCCUUGGCUCUAAUACAGUCGGGGGAUGACGGUACCGGAAGAAUAAGCACCGGCUAACUACGUGCCAGCAGCCGCGGUAAUACGUAGGGUGCAAGCGUUAAUCGGAAUUACUGGGCGUAAAGCGUGCGCAGGCGGUUUGCUAAGACCGAUGUGAAAUCCCCGGGCUCAACCUGGGAACUGCAUUGGUGACUGGCAGGCUAGAGUAUGGCAGAGGGGGGUAGAAUUCCACGUGUAGCAGUGAAAUGCGUAGAGAUGUGGAGGAAUACCGAUGGCGAAGGCAGCCCCCUGGGCCAAGUACUGACGCUCAUGCACG